rnacentral:lncRNA from 1 species
AUAUUAUAUAAAAUUAGCAAAACAGUGACAGUAGUGACGUUCAAAGCAUGCAAAAAUGUUUUAUGAGUAAAUUUCGAGAAACCGGCGAAAAUACUUUGUUUACAAGGNNNNNNNNNNNNNNNNNNNNACCAUAGAAAUAAUAGAUAUAGAAUGCGUACUCCUAUCUUUUCUCAGUGAAAAAUUUGUCUCCACAAAAUGGCGGAUUUAUAAGGGCAUUUUGGUUCCCAGACUCCCAGGCGGCAGGGAAUUUCAGUGGGAAUUUCGCGCGGUUGCAGAGAGUGCAAAUUGUUUUUUCAAAUGCAAAGUUUGCAAAAAUUUUAUAUCGAGACUUAAAAUGGAAAAAAAAGUGCAAAAAGUGUCUAAAAACCCAUUCUAGUGGGCUUUUUUACGAAAAGCAACAGUUCUGAACAGAAUAUAUACAGAAAUCAUCGUUUAAAAAUAAAUUUUCAACGUUGUUGUGCAAGGCAAAACAAAACCCGAAAGAUCAAGACAAACUCAAACUCAAUAGGUAUGUUCUAUAAAUAUUUCAACGUUUU